AUUUAAAAGCCAGAUCGAGAUUUAACGUUUUUCAUGCUAAAAUAUUUAUACAGAAAUAUGCGUAUUAAAAGUUACCAUGAAGAUUCGAAAUCAAAAUGUAUCGCUCUAGUUAAAUGUAAUAAAAUAAACGCAUUAGAAGUUUUUGUCUUCUGCAUUUGUCAUAAAAAUAGUUUUUAGUAAUCAUUAAAAUAAGAGAUUCAUAAUAUAUUUUCUUAUAUGGAAUGCGUUAAUUGAUGAACAGUAGAAAAAGUAACCUUGUGAGAGGAAUAGGCAGAGACCGAUAGUUUAGAGAGCACAUUCAGUUUGCUCAGAGUUAAUUCAAGGGAUUUGUGAAGAGCCACCAUCGUCCGGAAGGAAAAGUGACAGGAGGACGCGAAAGGACGAACGGCCCCGGGGUCAAGCGGAAUUGUCACGGCUCAGACGGUUAUUUGAUCACAAAUGACGUCAGAGCGUCGGACGCAGUUUAUUCCCAUUAGCCGCUUAGUCGCUCCGUAUUACAGCACGUCAAACUCUAAUGGAAAAAGAUGGCGUCAUUUGUUUCGUUAUCCAAAGAAACAGAUUAAGUCGACUAACCCGAUGAUUCACUCGCCAUUUCCGCUACAGAUUCUGUUAAUCGCCCAGUCGGACGCCAUCUUGUCUUUCUUUGUUGGCUGUUUACUCCCUUAGAGCAUUUGAGGUAAACAGACUGGUAUCCCACUAAUUUUCUCCCCAUUGUUGACCUGGAGAAAAGGCGUCCAACAUGUAGUGCCCCGGACUUUUUCCUUAGGGAGAAUCCCUUUAAUAGCGCAUUGGCUUCUCCCUAAUUGCAAUCGUUGCGCAGAGGAAUGCAUCACAAUGCUCCUUUCUAAUCAGUACUUGUUCGAGUUCGAAUGCCGAUGCAAAUUGAGCCUUUCUCAGAGGAGUCGGAUGGAACUUGUUUUGGAAUUCCGAAACUGAGAACAUCAUUCGGGAUGUGGAUUCUUAUAGAAAGGACAAUUCGAUAGCUUCAACAGAUUUCUGAAUUAAACCAUCGAGAAGAAUCUACUGUUCUCUUUAGAUUCUGUUAAAUAAGCAUCUAAGAAGUGUGGUAGUCAUAAAUCUAUGAAACUGAUCCUUCCAGUCACUUAGAUAAUUCAGAAUUCAAAAUUUAGUGCAAAAUAAGGAAAUUUCUAUAUAGAAUAUGGCCAGAUUAGGUUAUUAAAUUUUUGGGCAACGAAGCCUUGGUAUUGUUGGCAGUGGUACGAAAGAGAAAGCGAACAUUCAUCUCUAGAUAGAAAACAGGCUGUCAGGAGAAGGAGAAAUAAAAGCGGCAGAAAUGGGAGAAACCUUAUUUACAAAAUAACACGUCCGUGCGCGGCGGUGGGCCCUUGGAACUUUACGGCACUGCACAUCCAAUAUAGUCCCGGUGGAGUGCAGAAAUAUGUCGAGGCGAUGGACCGGCCUGCAACCCGCCGAGACAUAAAGUAUUUAUUGGUGGGGACAUCGUCCACGAAACUCUAUCCACCGUCAUCCGCUAAUAACGAUUUACUAGGCGCAUCUCGGGACAAUUACGCGGACGUGUCUGGCCUCGAUGAUAUAGUGCUGCAGGUAACGUCCGCUACUUCUAAAUCACUUAGCCUCUCCCUCUUUCUCUCUUGCAGGUUCUUCUAUUUGUACUUGUACGCCUUCUACGCUUACGACUGCAGGUUCAACGG
rnacentral:lncRNA from 1 species